AGUGAACGCUGGCGGUAGGCCUAACACAUGCAAGUCGAACGGCAGCACAGUAAGAGCUUGCUCUUACGGGUGGCGAGUGGCGGACGGGUGAGGAAUACAUCGGAAUCUACUUUUUCGUGGGGGAUAACGUAAGGAAACUUACGCUAAUACCGCAUACGACCUACGGGUGAAAGCAGGGGAUCUUCGGACCUUGCGCGAUUGAAUGAGCCGAUGUCGGAUUAGCUAGUUGGCGGGGUGAAGGCCCACCAAGGCGACGAUCCGUAGCUGGUCUGAGAGGAUGAUCAGCCACACUGGAACUGAGACACGGUCCAGACUCCUACGGGAGGCAGCAGUGGGGAAUAUUGGACAAUGGGCGCAAGCCUGAUCCAGCCAUACCGCGUGGGUGAAGAAGGCCUUCGGGUUGUAAAGCCCUUUUGUUGGGAAAGAAAAGCAGCAGGUUAAUACCCCGCUGUUCUGACGGUACCCAAAGAAUAAGCACCGGCUAACUUCGUG
rnacentral:rRNA from 1 species